UACGUAGGGUGCGAGCGUUAAUCGGAAUUACUGGGCGUAAAGCGUGCGCAGGCGGCUCUGCAAGACAGAUGUGAAAUCCCCGGGCUCAACCUGGGAACUGCAUUUGUGACUGCAAGGCUAGAGUACGGCAGAGGGGGAUGGAAUUCCGCGUGUAGCAGUGAAAUGCGUAGAUAUGCGGAGGAACACCAAUGGCAAAGGCAAUCCCCUGGGCCUGUACUGACGCUCAUGCACGAAAGCGUGGGGAGCAAACAGG
rnacentral:rRNA from 1 species